ensembl:lncRNA
GGUAAAGAAUCUGCCUGCAGUGCAGGAGACUUGCAGGAGACACAGGUUCUAUCCCUGGAUUGGGAAGAAAGGAAAUGGCAGCCCACUCCAGUAUUCUUGCCUGGAAAAUCCCAUGAACAGAGGAGCUUGGCGGGCUACAGUUUAUGCAGUUGCAAAGAGUCGGACAUGAAUGAGCAACUAAACAACAGAAUUGAUGCUUUUAAACUGUGGAUUUGGAGAAGACUCUUGAGAGUCCCUUGGACAGCAAGGAGAUCCAAACAGUCCAUCCUAAAGGAAAUCAGUCUUGAAUAUUCAUUGGAAGGACUGAUGCUGAAGCUGAAACUCCCAUACUUUGGCCAUCUGAUAGAAAAGAUCCUGAUGCUGGGAAAGAUUGAAGGUGGGAGGAGAAGAGGACUAUAGAGGAUGAGAUGGUUGGAUGGCAUCACUAACUCGAUGGACAUGAGUUUGAACAAGCUCUGGGAGUUGGUGAAGGAUAGGGAAGCCUGGUGUGCUGCCAUCCAUGGGGCUGCAGAGUCGGACACGACAGAGUGACUGAACUGAACUGAAAAGUCACUUAAUGUGAAACAUACUAUUAUAACCAUAUUUAACUGUACAGUUCAGUGGCACUGAGUACAUUCACAUUAUUGUGCAGCUCUCACCAUUAUCCAUCUCCCGAAUUUUUCACCUUCCCAAACUGAAACUCUGUCUCUGUUUUGAUUCUUUGGAAGAAAUUCAAAUGGAAAAGCAUACAGUGAAUAAAAAUUAGAGUUUUGCAAAUAAGAAAACCCAGAAAUCUGCCAAGAGAUGCACAAAACAAUACUUGCCUGUUGGGCUUCCCACGGUCCAGGGUCUGACCUUGCAGGCAACUGCAUGUGAUCAUAUCAGUUGGUUGUAUCUAGGACGUUAACUGAUCCUACUGAAAUUCCACAAGAGAUUAAAAAAGUGAAAAAGAAGUGUGCAUUCAAAAGCUGCACAUUUCCCAGCCAUUCCUGUGGUGGGCUCUAUAGCCUGUGGAGUCGGCAGCCUGCUGAAGGACACUCAAGACGUGUGAGGCAGCACAGUGAGUUGGGGUGGAGUGGAGACAGAGUUUUUCUCUACUGUGCAAGCCUGCAUGGCAGCAGAGGAAGAAAAAAAUAAAACACCCUUCUUUGAAUGCCUGCUCUCCUUCCCUGAAGGCAAGGAAACCAUACACACCUAAACGGAAGUCUCAUGCACCAGGAAUAAGCAUGUUUUUAAGGACUCCUUGUUGAUGCAACUGACACACAGAGAAGAAAAAGGGGAAUAGACAACUAUUUGAUAUUUCUAUAUCAAAAUAAAUCAGCAACCUACCUUUCAAGCAUCAAAUUAAUACGAAACUGUUCACAAAGCAAUCUUGCCAAAAGGAGAAAAUAUCAAAUAUUUGGAAACAUUCAACCCAAAAUGAAACUGCAUGAAGUAGAAACAUUUGGACUGAGUGUUGAUUGGAAACAAAGGAACAUCUACGAGCUUUAUGGAGGUUUGAGAUCUUCAGCUCAAAGACCUUCUCCUCAGAGGUGUUUCCCUGAUCACCUGAACGAAAGCAGCCUCCUGGUUCGCAGUCAGUGUAUCUCAUCGUGUUGCUCUGUUUUACUUUUUCCACAGCACAUGUCAUCUGAAAUUAUCUUGUUUUUGUGUUUGUUUUCUGUAGCAUGUCCUUAAGUGCAGGCAUCCUGCCUUAUUUUCCUCGGUGUCCCAGCUCCUUGGCACAGGAAGUGCUCAGUACAUACUUAUUGACAAAGUGACAGGGUGAAUAUCACGCAUGGCUCAUUGGAGCUAGUUCCUCAAAACAUUUUUCAUGAUGGAAAAGUGUCAGAAAAAAAAACAUUCACUCUGUUCAGGAUUUACCUCAAAAGAAUGAUUGGAGAAUUGCCACAGUAUAGUCGUGAACAGCACAGAAACUUCAGAAUACCUGAAUGUAUCUCCUGUAGAACCUGGAAAAGCGCCUACUAAAGAUCUAUCAAGUGAAAAUUUCAGGAUUUAGUUCAAGUUUGUGCUCAUAGCAUUAAGAACGCAUUAUUUAUUUUGAAACACUCAGGCAGUGUAGCAGAAGAAUGAGAGAUGAGAUUCCUUUUAAAAUAAAUGCCAUGCUUAAAGAAUGCCUAUACUUACUAAGCUCAAAAAAUAUUUUCUUCUGUCUCCCAUGAAAGCAUAAAUCUAUUCAAAGUCUUUAAAAUGAAGCAUGGCACAUAAUUUGUUCUCUUUGGUUGCUUUAUACAACAGCACAGAGGGUGGAAGCAAAGAUGGUAGUUCUGAUUCAAACUCUGCCGCUCACUUGCUUGAGUAGAUCACUUAAUAUCUGUGCACAAUUAGAAAGGCAAUAACACCCAUCAAUAUUCUUGCCCUUCCCAGAGUGGCUGUUACACUCCAGGCAUGUAACCUGUAAGAAAGUGCUGAGUUUUAGUGCUAAAUAUUAAGAGUUGUAAGGAUAGUAAUUUUUUUUACAUUGAUGAUAAAAGGAUGUGUCAACCUAAAUAAAGAGAUAAACUGAGGCAAGCUCAAAUUACUAGUAAUUGUGUUGUGUUCACUGGUUAGGAGAUGAGUCUCAGCCUUCUGUAGAUCAGGCUUUUGGAUCUUAAGUUCAGUUUUUCUGAGGGCGAAUGCAUGAGUGUCUCCAUUUCAUAUCCUCCAGUUCCAUUUCAGAUCAAGAUCCUUUCACAGAUGUGAUAUUAUGACUUUGGUGGAGAAUGUAAUUCUAUUUCAGUGGUUAUAGCAAAGCACUUAACUGCCAGAACUAGCCAUACUGCUUGCCUUGAAGAGCAAAUGAAGUGGUAAAUGCAAGAAAUGGGGACAGAAUAGAAGCUGAAAUUAUGGAGUCAUUGCUGUGCUCAGGGGGUCAGAUCUCAGCAGUGUGUUUAUCAGAAAUUUAGCAACUGGGAAUAGAUACCUAGAAAUCUAAUUAUAAGAUCUCUUAUCUACAGUAAGAGAGCUAAAUUGGAAAAUUAUCUCCUGAUCCCUCCUACUUAUUUCCAUUAACAUUCAAAUAGUCAAUGUUUUCCUACUCCACUCGUUCUCUUCCAGCGUAUCAAGGCUUUUUCUCACACUGAAAAAUUCUAUUUUCCCUCAUGAAAACUUACUUCCUGAGCCAUCAGCUUUCAUGGUUUACAAGAAAACAGGCUAAAAUGUUAUUAUCUUUGGAUCAUAAGAUUAUGAGUAACAUUUUCUUAUUUUAUUUUUCUGUUGUACCAAAUUUUCCAUAAUGAGCAUUUAUGCUUUUCAUUGUAAGAAGAAAAACAAGGAAGCAGAUUAAUUUAGCCAACAUUACUGAAAGAGUAUUUUAUUUU